UAUAAUUGAUGAUAAGGUAAUAAAUUUUAAAUAUAUAAAAGAAUGGAAAAAUUAAUUGAAGUUAAGAUAUAAAAUUGUAAAGAAGGUUAAAAAAAAAAGAAAUACAUUGUUUUAAAAUUAAUAAUAAUAAUAAUAAUAGUAAUAAAAUAGUCCAGUAGUUGGAAUGUGAAAGAUAGUAUGGUUUAUAAGUGGAAAUGAUUGUUAUUGAGAUGUAAAAGGAAACAAAAUUGAAAUGUUAGUAAAUGAUGUAUAAUAUUGGAAGAGAAUAAUUACUAUUGAUUUGGGAACAAAAAACUCUAAGGAAAUUAAGAGGUAGAAGGUUGUAAUAAUUGAUUGUAAGAUGUUGUUGUUAGUUGCGAAGUCAUGUCCAACCCAUCGUGACCCCAUGGACAACGUUCCUGCAGGCCUUCCUAUCCUCUACCAUCCUCUGGAGUCUAUUUAAGCUCACGUCUACUGCUUCAGUGAUUCCAUUCAGCCACCUCAUUCUUUAUCGUCCCUUUCUUCUUUUGCCCUCAAUCUUUCCCAGCAUUAGGCUCUUCUCCAGUGAAUCCUUCCUUCUCAUUAGGUGGCCAAAGUAUUUGAGUUUCAUCUUCAGGAUCUGGCCUUCUAAAGAGCAGUCAGAGUUGAUCUCCUUUAGGACUGACUUGUUUGUUCGCCUUGCAGUCCAAGGGACUCGCAGGAGUCUUCUCCAGCACCAGAGUUCAAAGGCCUCAAUUCUUUGGCGCUCAGCCUUUCUUUCACAGCCAUACAUUGCAACUGGGAAAACCAUAGCCUUGUCUAUACAUACUUUCGUUGGUAGGGUGAUAUCUUUGCUUUUUAGUAUGAUGUCUAGAUUUGCCAUAACUUUCCUCCCCAGGAGCAAGCGUCUUUUAAUUUCUUGGCUGCAGUCCCCAUCUGCAGUGAUCUUGGAGCCCAGGACAAUGAAAUCUGUCACUAUGUUCUUUUGAAUCUAAACCCGUCCCUCCCUUCUUCUAGCUUCCAAUGGGGGAAGACUUCCAGCUUUUAAUGCCUCAACAUAAAAUUCUAAACGCAAGGAACAAGAGAUGAAGGCACAACAACAACUGGCAACUACUACAAUGGAAACAGUGGGAGGAGCAAGGCCUAAAGUAAAAUGUGAUCUGCGGCUGGUGUUCCAAAAGUUUCCUUUGGCCGAUAAUGGCAAUUAAACUAUUAUCUUGGAAUGUUAAUGGCCUGAAUUCACCGCAGAAGAGAAGGAAAGUAUUUCAUUAUUUGAAAUAAUUUAAAAAUGACAUUACCAGUUUACAAGAAACAUAUAUUAGAUCUUGCUAAAUGUUGGAGAUGCGAUUGUGAAGAUGCUACUUAUUACCAUAUAUGGUGGACUUGUAAAAAAGUUAAAGUAUUUUGGAUUAAAGGCUGGUGGAUCAUGCAGAAUAUUUUGAAAAAGAAGAUUAAGUUUACUCCGCAGUUUUUUCUACUAGGAAUAAUUAUGGACUAUACAGCUAUAGAGACUAAAUUGAUUUUGAACUUAAUAACAGUCGCAAGACUUUUGAUUGCUCAGUAUUGGAAGAAAGAAGAAUUACCUACAAUCGAAGAAUGGACAAAACAAAACAACAAAUGGACACUUAAAGUAUCAAAUCUGGCAGAGAUGACAAAAAUCUCCGCUUACUUGAAAGACUAUAUACUAGAAAAAUAUAUUUUAGAAUGGAAAA